rnacentral:lncRNA from 1 species
UGAGGACUUCCCAGCAAUGCAGAACUCCAACAGGAGCUGGAAACUCUUCUUGCAGUCUUGAGAAAGUAGGUGGUCAUGUGGAACAAACUGUAGACAGCUUAAAGGCAAAUUCCAGCCAACAACUAGCAAAAAUCUGAGCCUUCAGUUAAACAGAAGCAGUGAAAUCAAUUCUGCCCACAACCUGAAUGACCUUGGAAGCAGAUUCUUCCUCAAUUGAGCCUCCAGAUGAGAAUGCAGCCUGGCCAACAACUGCCUCAUUAACUGUGAAACUGACUCUGAGCAGAGGACAAAGCAAAGCUGUGCACAGACUCCUGACUUACCAAGCCUGUGAGAUGAUAUUCCCAAAUUAUUUUAAGCUGAUAGAUUCCUGGAAAUUUUAUUACAUAUCAAUAGAAAAUGAAUACACUAAUUAUCUCUGAUUUUUCUGC